GACGGGACCCCGCACAAGCGGUGGAUUAUGUUGUUUAAUUCGACGCAACGCGAAGAACCUUACCAGGCCUUGACAUACUCGGCAAAGCUCUAGAGAUAGAGUGGAGGUUAUCCGGGAUACAGGUGGUGCAUGGUUGUCGUCAGCUCGUGUCGUGAGAUGUUGGGUUAAGUCCCGCAACGAGCGCAACCCUUAUCUUUAGUUACCAUCAUUCAGUUGGGGACUCUAGCGAGACUGCCGGUAAUAAACCGGAGGAAGGUGGGAUGACGUCAAAUCAUCAUGCCCCUUAUGACCUGGGCUACACACGUGCUACAAUGGUUGGUACAACGAGUUGCGAGUCGGUGACGGCGAGCUAAUCUCUUAAAGCCAAUCUCAGUUCGGAUUGUAGGCUGCAACUCGCCUACAUGAAGUCGGAAUCGCUAGUAAUCGCGGAUCAGCACGCCGCGGUGAAUACGUUCCCGGGCCUU
rnacentral:rRNA from 1 species